rnacentral:lncRNA from 1 species
UCAAAUCACAUGGUACAUCGAUCUCCUAGCACAUGAAAAUCUAGCCUAACAUAAUUGGAAAUAAAGAAAAACAACAAUUAAAACCAAGGAAGAACAUCAACCAAUUGAUUCUUGAAGUGAAAUCUUGAAGCUUGAAGUGGAUUGCCUUGUUUUUGCCUUGUUCUUUCCCUCCAAAUCCUCCAAAAUUGUGUUUUUGUGCCUCCAAUUACGUUCCCCCCUUCUUCUGGACGUUCUUUCGUAUUUAA